UCUUGGCUUGAUUGCUGUUCACUUAGCUCACUGACUUUAAUCAUGGUUUAAUCACAACUUCAGCCAGGAAGGUGGAAGUUUCAUCUCACUAACUCAUUUUCAGAUUUCCUAGGUUGCUGUUAUAAAGACAUUUUCAAGAAUUGCUGGAUGGUAAUUAUUCCCACGGGAGAUGCCUUGGACUCUAUUUGCCCAAGAUCAUGCCUUAAACACCUGCCUUCAAAGCUCAGAUACAUCGAAAAGAAAAAGGUAUCAGAGAAAUUCAGCCUAAAUAUGAUCUCCAGGAGAUGGCACUGUGAAACAAGUCUUUCAGCAUCCUAAUGCCACCUCCCAGGACCAACUUCUUUCUGAAUUAGGGCUGAUGGAUAAAAAGAAGACAAAGGUAGAAGUGAAAGCCCUGGCCCGGGAGCUGUUAUGAAAUAAAGGCCUGAUGGUGUGUCUUUAUCUCCUGUAAAGAUUGUGAUAAGGUGGGGUGAAAACUUGGAAGCUGAAGGUCACAGUUUGUUGAGAGGAGAGGGAAAAUGCAGAGAGAAGCUUUGCUGUGAGCCCAGGAGCAGUCCCAGGAGAUGAAUAUGGCAGAGGAGCUAACAGGAACUGCAGUUGACUGUGGAGGUGGCCCCAGGUGAUGUCCUGUGUCUCCUCUGUGACACCAAGCUCCUGUUAGAUGCUCUCCACCCUUUAGCUCACUCAGGCUGGACACUGUUAACCAGCCCCAAAUAAUUCCCCAGUGCCAGCUGCACAGCUCUGCCCCUUCUCCAAUGCAGGAAACAGCAUCCCAAAAGCAAGUAAAUACCUCAAAAAGUGGAGAUAACCACAUUCUUUGGGUUAAAAGGAAACCUGGCUGCCAUCAAGGAACUUCUGCCCAGUCUCAUAGUGUUUAUCACAGAUGAAGCUCCAGAGCCUUGACUUUGCCAUUUUACCUGCAGAAAAGUUGUCUCAGAUCCCCCUAUUUAUUCACAAAUACAAAUUUCAUCUCAGCACCAUGUUCAGCUUG